AGUGAACGCUGGCGGUAGGCCUAACACAUGCAAGUCGAACGGCAGCACAGUAAGAGCUUGCUCUUACGGGUGGCGAGUGGCGGACGGGUGAGGAAUACAUCGGAAUCUACUUUUUCGUGGGGGAUAACGUAGGGAAACUUACGCUAAUACCGCAUACGACCUACGGGUGAAAGCAUGGGAUCUUCGGACCUUGCGCGAUUGAAUGAGCCGAUGUCGGAUUAGUUAGUUGGCGGGGUAAAGGCCCACCAAGGCGACGAUCCGUAGCUGGUCUGAGAGGAGGGUCAGCCACACUGGAACUGGAACACGGUCCAGACUCCUACGGGAGGCAGCAGUGGGGAAUAUUGGACAAAGGGCGCAAGCCUGAUCCAGCCAGACCGCGUGGGUGAAGAAGGCCUUCGGGUUGUAAAGCCCUUUUGCGGGGAAAGAAAAGCAGCAGGUUAAGACCCCGCUGUUCUGACGGUACCCAAAGAAUAAGCACCGGCUAACUUCGUG
rnacentral:rRNA from 1 species